AAUAAGUGUAGCCAUGAGUUUCCGUGUCCAACUUUAAUCGUCCGUCUUAUUUAUUUUUUUUUAAAAAAUAAGUCUCGCAUAAAGUACUAUUCAUAUUUUAUAAUCUAAUAAUAAAAAAAUAUUAAUCAUGAAACAUUUUAAAUAAAACGGAUGAUCAAAAUUGGACAUGGAAACUCAUGGCUGCGUUUAUU
rnacentral:pre_miRNA from 1 species